rnacentral:rRNA from 1 species
AUUGAACGCUGGCGGCAUGCCUUACACAUGCAAGUCGAACGGUAACAGGUCUUCGGAUGCUGACGAGUGGCGAACGGGUGAGUAAUACAUCGGAACGUGCCCGAGAGUGGGGGAUAACGAAGCGAAAGCUUUGCUAAUACCGCAUACGAUCUCAGGAUGAAAGCAGGGGACCGCAAGGCCUUGCGCUCACGGAGCGGCCGAUGGCAGAUUAGGUAGUUGGUGGGAUAAAAGCUUACCAAGCCGACGAUCUGUAGCUGGUCUGAGAGGACGACCAGCCACACUGGGACUGAGACACGGCCCAGACUCCUACGGGAGGCAGCAGUGGGGAAUUUUGGACAAUGGGCGCAAGCCUGAUCCAGCCAUGCCGCGUGCAGGAUGAAGGCCUUCGGGUUGUAAACUGCUUUUGUACGGAACGAAAAGACUCUGGUUAAUACCUGGGGUCCAUGACGGUACCGUAAGAAUAAGCACCGGCUAACUACGUGCCAGCCGCCGCUGUAAAAC